UUUCAACUUUUAAGAAUAACCAUUGCAAUGCAGAUAUCUUGUAGUAAUCAAGAUUAUGAAUACAGGCUGCAAAAUGCAGUGGAUGCUGUGCUGAGAACUGUGCUUUACAGAUCUGUGUUUGAGCGUAACCUGAUGGUGAGGUGUUGGAACACUUGAUUAAAAUACACAAAAAAUAUAGCGGAGCCUUCUUCCCCCUCCUGUGUCAUAUUGUUCUGGCGGCCAUGCUUUCCCAAUAAUCCUCUCAAGCUGCUGACUUUUCAGUUUGUGUUUGGCUGGAGGAACAAGGCAAUGGUCUUUGUGAUAAGCUGCCAUUAACCAUCAUCUGCUAGCCACAUGGUGUCUUUUGGAUUGCUUCCUACUACUGCAGGGAUUUCUGAAAGCUGUCUCUUCAGUGCUGGAAGUGUGAAGCAGUACACAGCCAGGUGGAUGUGGGUAGGGGCAUCCGUGUCUUGUGUCUGUAGUGUGGGCAUUUGACAAGCGCUGCCGUUCAGCUACUUGUGAUAUCCUGAGUGUUUAACUGCUGCUGAGGAGAUUGGGGUGGAGAAUAAAUCAGUUGUGACUUACAAACAUGUUGCAGUAAGUGAACUUUUGCAGUAAACCCCUAGUUCAGUCUGAGAGAACCUUCAGGUACAGACCAGCAUCUUACACUGAGCCUCAGAGCCUUGUCUGGCUGUAAAUCAUGGGCUGCCUUACCAGCAGUGGUCUGGGUUUUCUUCUUAUAUUAGUAAAUGAUGGAGAUUCUCCUGAUAAAGAGUACAACAUAGUGUCCAGUUACUGGUGGUGGUGGUGGCACUGCAAUGCAGUUUGUACUGUUCCCUCUUGACACUGCACUGAAGGCAUUGCCCAGCACAUACAAAUAGAGCCACCACAUACAAAUAACAGCACGUUGUUCUCUAUCACUGUUCACUUCGCUGUGGGCAAGUAGCUUAGUAGUGUUUUUACUCAGAUGUAAAAUAGAUUUUGCUAAUACUUGUUUUGUGGAACCUUAAUUUAUUCAUAGUUGCUGAUAAUAACCACUUGAAUAUGUUUGAUACCAUGAGUUCAGCAAAGGAGCUUAAACAGAGGCUGAGGAUAGAAAAUGAGGCUGUGUUUAAAAUCAGCUACUGACGCAGAGGAAGAAAUGGUAACAAAUGUCUGUGGAACGUAAGGAAGUCAUAGAGCUGGUGGUGGGAAUCAGACAAGAAAGCCUGAUACCUGUAUCUACUAAACAGGUAGAAAUUAUUAACAGGAGAAGAAAACUGCCCUCACCUGGAAGAAAUGUUAUGAUGCAAGGUCCAGCAGUAUCAGUUGCCCCCCAGCAGUGGGAUGGGGAACAGAAUCAGGAAGAAGGUAAAACCCAUGUUUUGAUAUAAGAACAGUUUAAUAAUUAAAAUAUAAUAUACUACUGCUAACUACAGUAAUAAUAAUGAAAAGGGAAAUAACAGAGAAACAAAAAACCCAGCCAACUAACAAACAACAGUGAAGCACAGUACAGUUCCUCACACCUGCUGACUGAUGCCCAGCCUGUCCCUGAGCAGUGAUCAGCCCCUCCUGGCUAACUCCCGCCACUUUAUAUACUGAGCAUGCUGUUCUAUGGUAUGGAAUAUCCCUUUGGCUAGUUCAGGUCCUGGCUGUGCUCCCUCCAUCUUCUUGUGCCCCUCCUCACUGGCAGAGCAAGAGACUGAAAAGUCCUUGAUCAGGAUAAGUGCUAUUUAGCAAGAACUAAAACAUCAGUGUGUUAUCAACAUUAUUCUCAGACUAUAGCCAAAACACAGCACAGCUACUAGGAGGAAGAUUAACUAUCCAUACAAAUAUAGAGUUCUGCAUUGCUGAUGAUGUGUGAUUUCCACACAUACAAUUAAUAUAUUGAUAAAAAGAAAGGGUUGACUUUAAUCAUUCUAAUAAGGCCCUUCAUGGGAGGCUAUGAUCAAACUGUAAGUUUAUGUCUAUCCGUCCUUCAGACUGAAGUGUCACGCAGAAGCACUCAGCUAGCUCAGGUACCAGAGGUGAUCUACCUGAGAGAUCCAGGGCUCCUCAGAGGCUCAUGCACCCCAUGGCCCUGCAGGGAAGUUGAGCUGUGUGGAGAGUCUGUGUUGCAGUUAGACUACAGGAGCUUGCUCCAUGUUGCUGUCCUGCAUACUCUGAUAUUAUGGUGGGUCAAAUCCUGACCAUGCUGGCCUGUGAAGUCCUGUUUCUCUAACUUUCAUCCUGGAGAAAGUUUAACGAUUUCUUUCAACCCACUUUUCUCUCCCAGGUCUGUUUAGGGGGUCUCUUGCAGGGCUGUGGUAGAUAUGGUGAUUACCAACAGGCUGGAUGCACUGAACAGUAAAAUGAUAUCCCCACAUAAAAGCUAGGCGAAGUCAGAGGAAUGUGAAGAACUACAGAAGGGUGAUUCAUUAGGUGUACAGUCACGAUAGUGCUAAUACAUGUAUCUUAAUACUCCUAAUGGAGAGAAGAGCACAGCUCAGUUUUAGUACAGUGUAUUAAAAGUAUGCAUUUAUAGUUGUUGAGGGACCCAUAACAUUACUGUGUACUCAAAUCUAUGCUUGCAAAAAGCAAAUGCAACAUUACAGUGAGGAAGAAACUGCGUAUUGAAGGGUAUGGAAGGUGUACCUGCCUCUGCAAAUGGACCGUGAUGUCUCCUUUGGAGGGCACUGCACACAACAGUCACUGUUAUCUCAAAAUAAAUAUUGCCAGCCACUGAGUACUUUCUAAGUCUGUAAGUAACAUACUCAAGGGUAGGGAAAAAGUAAUUGAAGAGAAAAUAGGAAGAUAAAUUAUGCCUUCUUAAAUGAGAUAGACUGUAAGAGCACACGAAAUAGCAGGUGCUAAAGAUUGAAAGCUUCUUUGAGUAUUGUAAUGGAAGGAUGCAGCAGAUUAAAUAAAAAGGUAAAUAGUUUAAGAUUUACAAAAAGAUACUCAGUUGAAUCUUUUAAUAUAUAAUGAUGUAAGUUACAUAACAUUUGAAAAACACCAUUCUGGCUGAGAAUUUAGAAUGAUUUGUUAUUGUAUUAAAUAUGUAAGUAGCGAAGAAUCAUAGAAGAUAUAAUACCGGCAGAUAAGGUGUGUGAAGUUCGGAAUUGCCAGGUUGUGAGGAUGUUUUUUAACUAUUGCAAGUCAAGCUGGAAUUACUCUGUCUGCACCUACUGAUGAGUUUGUGUGCUUUCCUCCCAGGUCUGACCUGGGCCUGGCCCAGAAGCAAAGCCCAGCAGUGUGCAUCCUGCCUCUGCCCGCCUGUGCUUAGCUCUGCUGUUAAAGCUGUACUGAGCAGAGUGGAAAUCAUGACUAUAAAGAUGAUGCAAGAAAUCUGAAGUUCCUGUCUCCUGAAAGUUUUUGUCACAGUUGCUAAAAGCCUUUUACUCAGUUUUAAAUAUUCUGUCAGUUCAGAAACUUUCUAUACCACUGGAUGAGGAAUGAUUUUAUUUCUUUACAGUGGCAGUGCUGCAAGGGUCAGCUGUCAGAUUUUCAGUAGUUGCAGUCUCUGCAAAAAGAUGAGGAAUAUAUUGGAAAAUAUGUAAUUAGGGCUUAGUAUCAGAUACAUAAAAAACAAGCAAUGGAAGGGGCUUUAACGUAUUGAGCAACAGAGGUGUUAAAAGCUGUUGAAUUUCAGCUCACUUGAGUUACUGUAAAUUGGGAGCUAGUACAGAAGCAGCUAAAAUUGGCCUGAAAGGGCAUUUGGAUAAGUUGCGUGUUACCAGUGAAGGUGUCAAGUAAUCUUCAGCAAAAUGAGGGUUCCCCUCCUUAGAGCCCCUAACGAGUGAAGUGCAUUUUCUGUGUGCUUUGCUGGGCCUUGUAUUUGUCCUUUAAUCCUGAAGAGAAAUGCUUAUAACUUGAUUUCACUUUAGAAAGGAAAGAGAAAUGUAUUCCUGAAGUUUUUGAGGUGUAUUUUUUUGUUCUACAGACAUUGAUGAAAAUGUUUCAAGUAGAGGGUCUACACUCAGAGGCACGUUGUCCACCUUGCUUCACUGUGCUGUGUUCAGCUUGUUAAGGUUUCUGUGAAUAUGGAAUUGCUUUUGCUAUAUAACUGGGGAAAAUGGAAGAUUAAAAAGCAUAGUCUGUCAUAGAGGGUUGAUUGUAACUUGUUAAAACCAAAUUAUAUACUUCACAUGGAUGUAGAUUCAAGAUGGGAAAAACCUCAGGCUGGUAAACUAUCGUAAGACACAUUCAGUUGUAUAUCUUUAGUAGUGCUGUGAUGUAAAUCUGAGUGUGUUUUAAGGACUUUAAGAAUCCAAGUUGGCAUUUAACUGUCUUCCAGGAAUAAUUCUGUUCUUUCCAAGUACAGAACUUUCCUCUCUGAGAUUGACCGGACACAGUCAAAUUCCUCGUGUCCUCAUUUCAGCUUGCUGUCUCUUUCUUCAGCUCACUGCUUAGCAAGCAACUGGGUUGUGAGGAGUUGUGGUAGUGAAGGCUCAUCAUUACUGGUCUUGCCUGGCAGCUCUGGUAUUAGGUGAAACCAGAAGGUCCUGAUUCUGUUUGAAGGCUGAAGAGGAUGUCAUCCAAAACCUAACAGCUUCUUAAGUGCAACUUUGAACUCUGUAAAGUACACGUCCUCACUUUCUGGGAAACCCAGUGUGUGGUUUAGUUUUGUUCUCUGGUUUUCCAUAGAAACAGUUAAUGGACUUUUUGUAGCUGGUGAACUAGUGUGCAGGGUUGAGGCUUCACAAAUGCACCUUUACUAAAAGGUGAGCUUUCAGAAAGACUGCACAAACCUGUGUCAUUGGAGGUCUUACGUUGUCAGUACAGUUAUCAUUUAACUUUCAUAGGUUUGCUGUUGCAAUUAAUAGUAAAUACCUCCUUUUGCUUGGAAAUGCUUUUUCAGUUCCAUUUCUGCAAGUGUUUCACUGUGGUCAGGCAAGCUGCAUGUGAAGCUAUUUUCUAGAUAUUACUGUGUUUGUUUCAAACUGCUAUUUGAGAGUCUUCUUGAGCCAUAGCAAAGGCUAAAUUAAAAUGCAUAACAAUGUACUUUCAACAAACUGAUUACUUUUUAAUUGCCUCUUACUUUAUUUAGGUUUUCUUGUGUUAAAUGAAGGACUCUUAGAAAAACAGGUUGGUUUGGUUACUGCCUUGAAAGUCUCCAUUCCUACCCUGAAAAGAUUAUGCAAGGUAUUUACUGGAGGGUGGGAAGAUGACACGUAGUUGACUCAGGGUUGUGUCAGCUGGUGCAGGACAUCUCCCAACUCUGAAUCUGCCAUGGUUUAGCCAUAGAAAGCAUUUACCAAAUAAUGUGUAUGCCUAGAACAGGUCACUUUCUAGGAAUCUUGGUGGAGAGCGAACAUCAAUGAUGAUACGUUUGCAUGCAACCAUAAGUGAUAAAGCUUGUGUGGUUUCUGGGGUUGGGGUCCCAGUGGGAUGUGGUAGCUGACCAUGAGUGCUGCAGGCCAUUGCAAGUGAAGAGGAGAUGAGGUUGGCUUAAUGGCUUCAUGCAUCUUUCCAGGCUGAUAGAAGGGUGAAUCUGGUCUUUUACUCUGCCUUCCUUAAGGGCAGGUUAUUUGGAAAUAAUUUAAAGCAUUUGUGAUUGUAUGGCCAUAGUCUUUUACAUGUAGAUUUGGUUUUAUUCCUCUUGAAUCUCUUGAGAAAGUGUCAGGGAGGAGCUGUCAUUUAUUUGGCCCUGAACUUGCCUUCUGUAGUGGCUGAGGUGCUGCUUUUCUGUUGCACCUCCGAGCUUUAGCAUAGGGAUAAAACAUUUUAGAAGGCAGUGAUGCUGUUAGACAGGGUGGUUUGUUGUAAAGUGACCAGUCAUCUCCCAUGAUAAUUUUAUUUUCUGUGACGUGCAUAAUAUCUUUAAUAUUACGUACUUCUCUUUUGGCACCUCCUUUUGCCACUCAUGCUCCUGUAGUGCUCACAAGUGAGCAGUUAUUGUGAAAGUAGGAUUAAUUUACGUUAACUUCUCCUGUGUGAUAGGAGCCAGUGCACGAUAUGACUAGCUAGCUCUCUGUAGACCUCAGACUUGUCAGAACUCUACCAUCCUGUCUGACUCUUGUGGCUCUGAUUCAUGCUGAAUCAGAGCAGCUGGAUCUGGGGAGGGCUCAGAAAUAAAGUGGCCUUCUCUUCCUGUAAGGUUGUAAAGCCAAGCUGAGCUCUGGUUAGCAAAUGUCACAAUUAAAGCUGCCUUUCAACCCUGCUUGUGGCCUUCUCAAAUAUAUACGUGAUGGUGUCAUUUGUAAUUACAUGAUCACUUAAUUUUCUUCACAUGGGAUUCCUGCCUCACUCUGAACAGGGUACGUGAUGCUCAGAGGGAGGGUGGACAGGCAAUGUUUUUUUUGCCUCCUUUAAUGCGUGGCCUGUGUGUGCUUACCAUAAAGCUGAUUCCUCCUGGGUUAUUUGCUUUGGUCUAAGUAAAUAUCAGUAAAUUAUCUUUGAGCCACUGGUAAAUAUGGAGUGGUAUUAUCAAGUGCUGAAGCACAGAGACUUGAGAGGAUGUUUGUUAAGCAUCACGAUGUUGUGGUCCACAGUGAGCAUUUCUUGGCAACAUGGCACAUUCAAGGCAGGUCUUUUGCUGGCUUCAGCUUAUUGCAUCUGUGACUGGGGAGAGGCUCUAAUAAUAACCACGACGGUUUCCUUUGCAGCAUCACCUGCAUUGUUGAAGAGCUCUGUGUCAGACCCAAGGGUGGAGUUCACCCUCCAAAAGGACCUUUUGCUUCUUCGUUGUCCUCCUUCGCUGGCUGUUUCUUUCCCUAGGCGCCAGCAGGCAGGGCUGAAACCCAGACAGCAGCUCCAGGCAUCACAGCAGUGAGUCAUUCCCCAUCACCAGCGCUCCCAUGCAUCCACUGCUGCAGUAGUGAAAUAGGUUGUGUGUGUAAGUAAAGGUGGAACCUUGUCCUUCAACUCACACUCCAGUUGUUCCUGUUGGAGGUAGACUGCUCUCUUCUCUGUUUCCUCUAGCUACAGCAUGGAGAGUUUUGGGAAUGUAGUUAAAACUGGGGUGGCUAAUCAUGAUUCAGGUAUGAGCUGCAUACUUGAAUCUUCAUGUGCCUGAGGUACACAAAGUACACACUGCAUACUUCUAAGACUUGCUGAGAGGGGAGAUGCUGGAGCUUUUUAAGCAGGGGAAGCAACAGUGAUUCCCAAGAGGUCAUCUUACCACUGAUGGUUUGGGGCUUGGUUAAUCUUACGGGGAUGGCUUCACCAGCCCCAACUGACUCAUUUCCUUUUGCAGCCAAAGAUUGGUAUUACUCAGCAGCCAUGGUAACAGUGCGGUCUCCCUGAGAGUUGAGGAUGCAGAUUUGGCAUGGAGCUGUGUUUGAGUCGUGCUCUGCAGCCCCCACAUGUGUGGUUUGGUGUAGCCAGUGCAGGUCUCGCCUCUUCUGGUGCCAUUAUUUGGACUCCAGGUUUCUCUUCAUACAGCUGUGUUACUGAAUCAUGCUUCCUUGGGAUAUUCUUGAACAUGUUAUGUUAGAUGCAUGUAUCAAAAUGGCCAGCUUCCGUUGGGUGCAGUCAUUCAGGAACAAACUGCUCCAGCAUGGAUCCCCAGCGGGGUCACCAGUCCUGCAGCAAACCUGGUCCAGUUUGGGUUCCUCUCCCCACAGGGCCACAGCUCCUGCCAGGAGCCUGCUCCAGGACAGGCUUCCCAUGAGGUCACAGCCUCUUCGGGCAUCCCUCUGCUCCCGUGCUGUAGGUGGAGAUCUGCUCCACCAUGGACCUCUAUGGGCUGCAGGAGCACCCGUUGUGCCCUGCACUGCAGGCUGCAGGGGAAUCUGCUCUGGCACCUGGAACAUCUCCUGCCUCCUUCACUGACCUUGGAG